CAUAUUACCAAAGCAGAAGAGAUACUACAGUAUGCAAGGGCUGAAAAUGGAGAAGGAAGAGUCCUUACCACGCUUAGCCCUGAUCUGGCAAGGGAAAGGUGCCAUUGCCACAGUCCCACGUAGAGUCAUGAAUUUGAAAGGAAUGGUGACUUUUGGCCCAGAGUUGCCGCUAUCCUGAUGUGAACACUCAGAAAGAGCUGGAAGACAGAUGCUCCAGCCAUCACCCCUCCUCCCAUCGGAUUUCUCCCCAGGGCUCUGCAAUAACCAAAAUCAAAGCUCCUCAAUACAGGCACCUGUCCAGCCUCCGUGUCGGGGUUUCUCAGUCUCAGCACUACUGACGUUCCGGGCUCGGUCGCUCCUUGUGGUGGGGACUGUCCUAAGCACUGUCGGAAGUUUGGCAGCAUCCCUGGGCUCUACUCACCAGACGCCAGUAGGAACCUCUCCCCCAAACUGUGACAACCGAGAAUGUGUCCGGACAUGGGCCUGGGGCCCCUCCCAGAUGAGAAACACUGGUUUCCAUAAAAUAAUUGAAAUAUAGAGAAGCUAUGAGACUUGAUGGAAAUGGUACAGCUGUUGAGUUAGACCGUUUGUUCCCAUGGGCUCUUUCCCUUUGCAGUGUUACUUGAAUGGAGCCAUUCAUACUUUGCAUAUUUUUGCUUUGCUUUUUAUCUGCUCCUGGAAGCAGUUAUAUCUCCCAACUAUCUAUACCCUUUCCUGAAAAUAUACUUCUGAGACCUGUUUUCCAAAAAGAGCCGUGACUCUCUGCAGGGGAGAAUUUAGGUCAAGGAUAAGGUCAGGUAUGCACACACUCAGCACUCCUUGCUUGAAGGUGUAGUUGCUAUAGAUUUUAAGCCCAAGGCUUUUGUAGGAUGCUGGUCCUGACAGUUGAUAUAAUUAUAAAAGACAUUCUUUGGUGUACUGUUAAUUCAGCUGUCCUGAAGUGUUGAUACCUCCUGCAUGUUCCUUCUUUAAUAUUUUCUAUUGAAUCUUUAAUGACCAUUUAGAGAAAUUAGCCAUUAGUUAAAAAGCUCAUUAUGGUAAUGAAUUUCUCUACCCAGAUUGAUAUCAUGGUCUAUAAUUUUUAACCUUGAUUGGUCUGGUAUUGGAAAAGGAAUUUAUUGCUUUGAAGAGUUAUUGGAUCGAUACACUUGGAAUAAUGUGUUGGGUAACCAUGCCAACACAACUUACAUACAAUAUUGGAAGGUGCGGUGGUUUUAAAAUAAUUUACAGAGAGAUAAUUAAGUCUAGUUGUGACAAGACAGAAGAUAAAUGAUGAUUCAUUUGAAGCCUGCUGGUAUUUCUUUCGCUGAAAAAAAUAAGGCUAGUAUAGCAAGCAUUAAAUCUAAUAAAUGAUUCACUGAACAAAAUUCCUAGAGUAUU
rnacentral:lncRNA from 1 species